ACAAACUUGGUCAUUUAGAGGAAGUAAAAGUCGUAACAAGGUCUCCGUUGGUGAACCAGCGGAGGGAUCAUUACUGAGAUAUUACUCUUUAACCCCUGUUAUAUCUACCUGUCCUGUUGCUUUGGCAGGCGGUCCCAGGGCGGGACUGGUGGCCUUUUUAGGUGCCUGCCAGAGGUUUUUUAAACUAUUGUUAUUCAUGGAUAUCUGAGUUACUAUAUAAACGCAUUAAAACUUUCAACAACGGAUCUCUUGGUUCUGGCAUCGAUGAAGAACGCAGC
rnacentral:misc_RNA from 1 species